rnacentral:rRNA from 1 species
AUGGGCAUCCAGGCGAGCCGCGCCCUCGCCGCGCUCCUCCUGGCGGCGCUGGCCGCCGCGACCCUGCGGGGCGCCUCGGCGGUGGUGCAGUGCGGCCAGGUGACGCAGCUGAUGGCGCCCUGCAUGCCGUACCUCAGCGGCGCCCCCGGGAUGACGCCCUACGGCAUCUGCUGCAACAGCCUCGGGGUGCUCAACCAGCUCGCCGCCAGCACCGCCGACCGCGUCGCCGCCUGCAACUGCGUCAAGGCGGCCGCCAGCGGGUUCCCGGCCGUCGAUUUCAGCCGCGCCGCAGCUCUCCCCGCCGCCUGCGGGCUCGCCAUCAACUUCGCCGUCACCCCCAACAUGGACUGCAACCAG